AUUGAACGCUGGCGGCAUGCCUUACACAUGCAAGUCGAACGGCAGCAUGAUCUAGCUUGCUAGAUUGAUGGCGAGUGGCGAACGGGUGAGUAAUACAUCGGAACGUGCCCUGUAGUGGGGGGUAACUAGUCGAAAGAUUAGCUAAUACCGCAUACGACCUGAGGGUGAAAGUGGGGGACCGCAAGGCCUCAUGCUAUAGGAGCGGCCGAUGUCUGAUUAGCUAGUUGGUGAGGUAAAGGCUCACCAAGGCGACGAUCAGUAGCUGGUCUGAGAGGACGAUCAGCCACACUGGGACUGAGACACGGCCCAGACUCCUACGGGAGGCAGCAGUGGGGAAUUUUGGACAAUGGGCGAAAGCCUGAUCCAGCAAUGCCGCGUGUGUGAAGAAGGCCUUCGGGUUGUAAAGCACUUUUGUCCGGAAAGAAAUGGCUCUGGUUAAUACCUGGGGUCGAUGACGGUACCGGAAGAAUAAGAACCGGCUAACUACGUG
rnacentral:rRNA from 1 species